UACGGAGGGAGCUAGCGUUGUUCGGAAUUACUGGGCGUAAAGCGCACGUAGGCGGCUUUUUAAGUCAGGGGUGAAAUCCCGGGGCUCAACCCCGGAACUGCCUCUGAAACUGGAUGGCUAGAAUCUUGGAGAGGCGAGUGGAAUUCCGAGUGUAGAGGUGAAAUUCGUAGAUAUUCGGAAGAACACCAGUGGCGAAGGCGACUCGCUGGACAAGUAUUGACGCUGAGGUGCGAAAGCGUGGGGAGCAAACAGGAUUAGAAACCCCCGUAGUCC
rnacentral:rRNA from 1 species